rnacentral:misc_RNA from 1 species
GAUGAAGAACGUAGUGAAAUGCGAUACUUGGUGUGAAUUGCAGAAUCCCGUGAACCAUCGAGUCUUUGAACGCAAGUUGCGCCUCAAGCCAUUAGGUUGAGGGCACGUCUGCCUGGGCGUCACAUAUCGUUGCCUGAUGCCAGUUUCCUCGUGAUGGGUUACUGUGCAGGGCGAAUGAUGGCUUCCCGUGAGCAUUGUUGCCUCAUGGUUGGUUGAAAAUUGAGUCCUUGGUAGGGAGCGCCGUGAUAGAUGGUGGUUGAGUGACGAACGAGACCCAAUCAUGUGAGACCCCUACCGAAUUUGGCCUUCAUGACCCACAUGCGUCUUUGGAACGCUCAUGACGAGACCUCAGGUCAGGCGGGGCUACCCGCUGAGUUUAAGCAUAUCAAUAAGCGGAGGA